UUUGAAAUUAUAAAUAUACGUAGUAAUAAGAAAAUUGCUAAGAAAAUUUAAGUGGAAAAUAUUAAAGAAAACAAUAUCAAAUACUUAUUCAUUUUCCUCAAACUAUUAAAAAUUACUUCGAUUAACUUUUUUCAUUUUUCUUUCACCUAACUUAAAUUUUGUGUGUAUGUAGUAGUUCUUUAUCUUCGAUAUUAGUUUUGAUCUUUAUCAAUGCUCUCAGUUGAUAGCUCUGAAUCAACUAAUAGCAUUUUUUUUCGAAAAGUGAAAAAAAUUAUUCUACAUUACAAUAUUAUUAGCUAAUAGCCGUCUAACUGAAAAUAAUCUUAUGCAUAAUAGUAUUUUUUAAUAAAUGGCAAAUAACAUUUUAUAAAAACAAGAACAUGACGUAUUUGUUUUAUCAUUAUUGAAUUAAAAAAUAACUUCUAUUUAGACUUCUAUUAACUUUACUAUUAACGUAGCACUUUUUUCGUAUAGUAAUCAAUAAUCCUCAUUUAUUUCAUGAAUGUUACAAUCAAGAUAUAACGAUGUUUAAUAUUUCUUUUUUUCUCGAUAUUUUUCUCUAGUUACAUUAUUUCAAAACAAUUCUUUUUUUUACGAAACAAUUACUUUUAAAUUUUGCUUUAAUAGAAAAAUAUGGAUGGUUAAAUACCAUUGUAUUUUCAGAAAAAUUUUGUUCCUCUUUCUUUUAUUUUAUAUGAAGUAUUUCCGAUAUCUGUGAAUGAAAUAAUGAUUCUUUAUUCAAGAUUCAACUAACAUCUGCAUUCCAAAUUAAUAGUUUGUAACUAACAAUUUGAUCAAUUUCAUUUUUAUUUUACUCUGUUUUAAUUUAGUUUUGGUAUUUAACUUUAGAUAAUUUAUAUUUGUACAUUUGUAACAUAAGAGGAUGGUUUAAAAUUUUAUAAGAUAGACUUAAACAAGAAUAUACAAAUCCGUCAUUAUUUUAUCGUAAUACAAGCUAGUUUGAAAUACCGUAAGAGCGUUAAUAUGUAGUAUUAAUUAAGUAGGUACUAAUUAAUUCUGAUCGCUCAUGCGAGUUUAUCUUAACACAAGUGGCAGAGCUAGCGACGGAUGGCAGAUGAUGGCUCUGCCCUCAAAUUUUUUUCGGCGAGUGUAACGUUGCGUGUCAUCGCAUAAAGUAUCGUGCUAACGUAAUGUGCAACACCAAUGCAAAAACCGAGCGAUGAUAUUUUAAUGGCGACAGCGACGAUGGCGUCGCGCGCGCUGCCAGGAAUGAGAGACUCUUCGACUUCGGACGAGCCGAAGUUGAAGCGCGCGUUUCGGAAUUCAUUAGGCUUAACGUAUGCGGGAGAUUAAUUCAAGGGGCAGCAAAGCGGCCAGACGCUGCUUUACAAGUGCGGAAAAAGGGCGCCAAGGAGGAAUAAAUGUAUGCCAGGACGAUCGUCGACGCCCGCGAGAAACAAAGGGCUUGCCGGAGUUUGCGUCAGCGCAAGUAACAUGGUGUUAAUCAUCAUUUAAGCCAUCGGUAGCCAAAUUGUGAUCGAGGACAUAAAAGACCGAUAACUGCUCUCCCCCAAAAAAUUAUAGGAGAAAAGUACUAUUUUUAAAAAAUAUCUAACUUAAAAGAAAUAUAGGAAAAAGCAUUCUAUAUCUACUUCUAUAUUUAUCAAAUGAUCUUGAUUUUUGUAUAAAUUAAUAGAGAAUUUGACAAUGGAGUUAUUUAUAUCAUCGUGCGUAUGCGUGUUGGCACGCAAAAUUUUCUCUUAAAAUUUACAUUCGAAUUCUUAGUGAUCAUAAAUAAACAAAAGCUAAAAAAAUUUAAUUAUAAUUUUAAUAAAAUAUUUUCAAGGGUGAUAAAACUCUUUCCAUGUUGUUCCAUGAUCACCGUGAUUCUGAAGAUAAAUUCUAAGACAAAAUUCUCUUUAUGUAGUGUAUACAUGUUUCCGUCGAAUCUUAGUCAUAAAGUUAAGCCAAGUAUAAAAUAGCCGUAUCCUCGAAAUGACUUCAAAACAAUUGUGUGAUUUGCAAAUGUUAUAAUUACAGUGAUUUAGGGCACUUCUUUAUGGAAGGACUUUAUGCGACAUGCGCAUUAGAGGAAUACCGCGCGGAAACAGUUUAUCGCAUUUAUCCCAUCCUGGAUGAAGGCAAAUUAAUGAUAAUAAGAGCGCAGAGCUAUAAUUCGUAUAGAAUUAGCUACGAAUCAUCUCUCCUGCUGACUGAUCGUUAUCGGCAAUUUGCGACGUUUGCUCCCCCGUGGGAUUCGAGAUCUCGGGGUGUAUAUCUUCUUCCCCGGUUCGUUUCGCCUCUCUACACAUUUGUAUUACACGAAUGGAAUCUCGUUGGCAAAGAAUCAUUUCCGCGAUCACACAAGGGACAGAUAAGUAAAUUGUACACCGAUAAAUUUUAAUACAAUACAAUUUACUAAUGGAUAAAUAAUUAUACUGAAAUAAUAUAUGCUUGCCUACAGUAAAAACUUUUGUGUUAAAUUUUAACACAAGAUAAAUAUGUUAGAAAUAACACAAAUAUUAUGAAAAUAAUUAACACAAAAAUUUAAAACUGAUGAAAAUGUAAUUUGAAAGCAAAUUGUAGAACCAUAUUUCCUUAAUAAAAUUAAUUAAUGUACAAUAAUUAAUAUGCUAAAUUAAAUGUACUCUUUAUUAAUUUAUUUUGAAACAUUUACAUUGUAAAAUUAUAUUCUCUUUCUCAAAUCAAGUUGAACUUUUAUAACUAAAAAUCAUGAAUUCCAUAUUUGAUCCAUGUUCCGUGAUUUGUCUUGACAAAAGUACUCUCGGUGAUUUGCCUUUUGAGACGUGAUGAUCAAUUGAAAAUCUAAUAUGUUCUAAAUGAAUUUGAAUCUUUGGCGAUUAUCAUUCUUAGCUAAAACUACUUAAACUACAGUAAAUAAAACUAUAUUAUUUUUAUGUUAUUUAUUUAUCUCUAAAUUGUAUUAAUUUAACAUUAGAAAAUGUUGAAUAUCAAUUUAUUACAAAAUAUUUAAAUAACACGUUCACAUUCCAUUAAAUUAAUACUUGAAUAUCUUAAAAAUUGAACACCAAAUCAUCUAUUUUGUAAAUGCAAAGGUGAUCUAUCUUCCAUAACAGGCCCAGUUUCAAAUCAUUUUGAUAUAGUUACGGAUAUAAGAAAGACUCUAAAAGACCGGCUAAAAGUUAUCGAAAUUUAAAAACCUGCAUACUUGUUAGAUUAUUCUAUUUUUACGAAUAAAUAACAAUUUUGGUCAUGAAUAUCCAAAUUUUGGCUCUGAAAUCUGCUACAAAGGAAAAAAAUAACGAAAGAUUUGAGUUAUAACAGUUUAUGUAGCGAAAAUGAUCAUAUUUUGUUACAGUUUUAGAUAUGAAAUAACUUUAAAACAGUAAAUAGAAUUUUAAGACUAAACAGUAAAUAAAAAUUAAUAAAAUAACUUUUAAACUUAAUGAAAGAAUCAUGUUUAAAUUUUAUCAAGAUAUUGAUAACUUAUUGAUAAAAUAACUUGUAAAUUUUUUACAUUUUCAGUAAUACUUUGAAAUGUGACACAUAUCCUCUUAAAUACAGAUAAAGAAAUACGAAUAGAAUCAUGCGGGAGCGAUUUAGAACAGAAGCGGCAACGAUGAGAAAGAGAGGAGCGGCCGUUGAGUCUCAAUGCGGAGAAUUUCGAAAUCGCUAACAAUCGGUGGCAAGCGAGAUCCAUUGAUGUGCGACCGUGCAUAUGAAUAUAACUGCCGAGGGAUAGAAACACUCUCGAAGAAUGAUGGUUAUGAGAAAAGGAGUGCUUGAACACGGACGAUGGUCAGACUCCUGCGGUUCCAAUUACGAUUGAAAGGCGCUCCUGUUUGUUCACCUCCUACAACUGCGGACUCUUCAGUGCCUCAUAGAACCGUACUCUAACCCCAUAGCCACUUUUGAGUUCGCUCUUACAUUUUCAUAAUGCAGUUUGUCGAUGUCGGGAAACGGAACGACACCGAUUACCCGACGUAACCGUGUUCCUGCUCUCAUGCAAAAUGCCGAGUAAUCAAAGGAACGAUUGUCAUCACAAAGGUGCUUGAUUGGCUCGUUUAUGGUACGGUAAUGCUUGGGCUACCGGAUGACACAGAAUCCUGCGAAGAAACACAAGUCUCUCGCUCUUCUAGAGAGUUUCCACGAAAUUGCAUGAAUAUAGUCAUUGGCAGCAUUAAGGUGCAUCGAGUUAUCAUGUUUUAUUUCCUAGUUACUAAGCUGUAACAAUAAUUAUAAAUAUCUAUAAAAUAUAAAUGUAGUAAAUAUAAGAUAAAUAAAAUUAAUAUAACGAAA